rnacentral:lncRNA from 1 species
GCAGGAGCCAUUGGUAGAGAUGAUACGAGAACAAAGGCCCUCGAGAUCUAAUCACUCUCGAAUGCCAAGCUUCUGGCUGCUAGUGCUCUGCUGGAGUCCUUGUCCUUAUCCUCCGGAGCAAAUCAUCUAGUGGUCAAAUUGUCCCUAUUUCCCCCAUCCCCCUCACAAAAGACGUAAAAUCACAAAGAAUCUACCACCAGCACUGCCGCCACCAAGCAACCGGAAUGCCGAGGAGUCUGGAUGACCCAUCCACAGACUUUAGAAUUGCCUCAGCUUGGCCUAAGUGUGUCCUGCCCAGGAAACUCCACACCAGUAGGAUUAUGCCCUAUUGCGUGUUGCUGCAUCCCAGGAUGGAGCCUACGGAGCACGACGACUGUCACAGAGCAGGCGCUCCAUAAAUAUCUGUGGAAUGAAGGAAGCAAGAUGGGAUCCCACCGGCCCCAAGGCUUUGUUGAAUGGAACCGUGAGUGAGAAUGUAAACUCUCGAGCCCAAGGCUUUCCACGGAAUUCCCUUUGGACUGGUUCAUUCUUUUUGCUCAACAUGAGAAAACAGCAGGAGUUAUUGGUUGGACUGCGUGAUGAGCCAGAUUGUCUGGGGGCAAGGC